rnacentral:rRNA from 1 species
AGAGUUUGAUCCUGGCUUAGAAUGAACGCUGGCGGCAUGGAUUAGGCAUGCAAGUCGAACGAGCGCGCCCUCGGGCGCGAAAGUGGCGAAAGGGUGAGUAACACGUGAGCAACCCGCCCCCGGAUCCGGAACAAGCCUUGGAAACGAGGUCUGAAACCGGAUGCCGCCCCGGGACCGCAUGGUCCCGGGGCGAAAAAUUCCAUUGUCCGGGGAAGGGCUCGCGGCCCAUUAGCUUGUUGGCGGGGUGACGGCCCACCAAGGCGACGACGGGUAGGUGGUCUGAGAGGAUGGUCACCCACACUGGGACUGAGACACUGCCCAGACUCCUACGGGAGGCUGCAGUCGAGAAUCUUCCGCAAUGGGCGCAAGCCUGACGGAGCGAUGCCGCGUGAGGGAAGAAGGCCCUCGGGUCGUAAACCUCUGUCAUCCGGGACGAAGUCAAUGACGGUACCGGAGGAGGAAGCCACGGCUAACCACGUGCCAGCAGCCGC